GAUGGGCCUGCGGCUGAUUAGCUAGUUGGUGGGGUAGCGGCCUACCAAGGCGACGAUCAGUAGCCGACCUGAGAGGGUGACCGGCCACACUGGGACUGAGACACGGCCCAGACUCCUACGGGAGGCAGCAGUGGGGAAUAUUGCGCAAUGGGCGAAAGCCUGACGCAGCGACGCCGCGUGGGUGAUGAAGGCCUUCGGGUCGUAAAACCCUGUCGGGUGGAACGAAUCCCCGCCUUGAUAAUACCGAGGCGGAUUGACGGUACCACCGAAGGAAGCCCCGGCUAACUACGUGCCAGCAGCCGCGGUAAUACGUAGGGGGCGAGCGUUGUUCGGAUUUACUGGGCGUAAAGAGCGCGUAGGCGGUCCGAUUAGUCGGAGGUGAAAUUCCUCGGCUUAACCGAGGACCCGCGUCCGAUACUGUUGAACUUGAGUGCAGGAGAGGAGAGCGGAAUUCCCAGUGUAGCGGUGAAAUGCGUAGAUACUGGGAGGAACACCGGUGGCGAAGGCGGCUCUCUGGACUGUCACUGACGCUGAGGCGCGAAAGCUAGGGGAGCAAACGGGAUUAGAUACCCCGGUAGUCCUAGCCGUAAA
rnacentral:rRNA from 1 species